UACGUAGGGGGCAAGCGUUGUCCGGAAUCAUUGGGCGUAAAGAGCGCGUAGGCGGCCCUGUAAGUCCGCUGUGAAAGUCAAGGGCUCAACCCUUGGAUGCCGGUGGAUACUGCAGGGCUAGAGUCCGGAAGAGGCGAGUGGAAUUCCUGGUGUAGCGGUGGAAUGCGCAGAUAUCAGGAGGAACACCAAUGGCGAAGGCAGCUCGCUGGGACGGUACUGACGCUGAGGCGCGAAAGCGUGGGGAGCGAACAGG
rnacentral:rRNA from 1 species